rnacentral:rRNA from 1 species
UACGAAGGGGGCGAGCGUUGUUCGGAUUUACUGGGCGUAAAGGGCGCGUAGGCGGCCCUGUUUGUCAGGCGUGAAAGCCCUGGGCUCAACCUGGGAACUGCGCUUGGGACGGCGGGGCUUGAGUUCGGGAGAGGAGAGUGGAAUUACCAGUGUAGAGGUGAAAUUCGUAGAUAUUGGGAAGAACACCGGUGGCGAAGGCGGCUCUCUGGACCGAAACUGACGCUGAGGCGCGAAAGCGUGGGGAGCAAACAGG